rnacentral:lncRNA from 1 species
AAUACAUUACUAGUUUGAUGUAUAUGUAAUGUGUUUUUAGAUCUCAAAAUUCUUCUUUCUCAAUUUUUGAAUCAAACUUGUCGACAAAAGUUAUGAAAUUGUUGUUGUUCAAAAUAUUGGCGUUGAACUUAUAUACCCGGGCUAAUCAAAGGUUAUUUCGUUUUUCGCUUGGGGAUUGGGGGCUAUUUGUUUUUCUUGCGUUGCUUGUUUGUCACCAUUUUUGCCAUUUAUUGUUGUUCUGAACUCCUGAUUGUUGCUAGUUUUGUCAUUGAUUGUUGUUCU